rnacentral:rRNA from 1 species
AAAUUGAAGAGUUUGAUCAUGGCUCAGAUUGAACGCUGGCGGCAGGCCUAACACAUGCAAGUCGAACGGUAACAGGAAGAAGCUUGCUUCUUUGCUGACGAGUGGCGGACGGGUGAGUAAUGUCUGGGAAACUGCCUGAUGGAGGGGGAUAACUACUGGAAACGGUAGCUAAUACCGCAUAACGUCGCAAGACCAAAGAGGGGGACCUUCGGGCCUCUUGCCAUCGGAUGUGCCCAGAUGGGAUUAGCUAGUAGGUGGGGUAACGGCUCACCUAGGCGACGAUCCCUAGCUGGUCUGAGAGGAUGACCAGCCACACUGGAACUGAGACACGGUCCAGACUCCUACGGGAGGCAGCAGUGGGGAAUAUUGCACAAUGGGCGCAAGCCUGAUGCAGCCAUGCCGCGUGUAUGAAGAAGGCCUUCGGGUUGUAAAGUACUUUCAGCGGGGAGGAAGGGAGUAAAGUUAAUACCUUUGCUCAUUGACGUUACCCGCAGAAGAAGCACCGGCUAACUCCGUGCCAGCAGCCGCGGUAAUACGGAGGGUGCAAGCGUUAAUCGGAAUUACUGGGCGUAAAGCGC